AAAUUCUCAAACAAAUUUAAAUGUCUAUAUGUGUAUCCAAAAUCCAGACAAAAAUAGAACGAGUCCAUGUUAAAAAUCACUGGACCCUGGAUACGCCAUAGCGUAUUGAACCGUAUUGGCGAGUGGUUGAACGCACAAUUUAGUGAUAAAACAGUGGUUUAUAUAGAAAAUUCACAGAAUGCCUGGAAGCGAAGGAACCAACUUGAUAACUACCUAUCUUAUCCUUAUAGCCCUUUUGCUAGUUUUAUGGGCCCUAUAUUCGGGAAUGUAUUAAAGUAAUGUUCUAAAAACCUCGAAACAUCACCAACCAUCCAUCCAUCAUCAUCGAUUAGCAUAUAGACAUGAAAGCAAGGUGGCGGCCACUAUAAUAUAACCGAAUCAUGGAUCCAAUUUAUAUUUUUAUAAGUGGUUAAGACAUUUAUUAGUUAUUUAGGUUUAAUUUUAAAGUUAUAAUACAUUUACAAUGUUUCGUUAAA